GCUCAUUAACCCCCCACCCCAGAGCCCCUAAUUAGCGGGGACUCAUUAUCCCCCCGGAGCCCCUAAUUAACAGGGGCUCGUUAAUUACCCCCGUGCUGCCCGCAGAGUGACGCCCCCCCCCGAAACCCCCCGCGGAGUGGGGGAGGGGCCGAGGACCCCCGCGGGCGGCGUGUGGGGAAAUGGGGGAUUUGGGGCAAUAAACGCAGAUUUUGGGGCCGGCGACGAUUUGGGGUCGUUUGUUGGGGUUUUGGGGUCGGUUGGUGGGAUUUUGGGGUCAGCUGUUCGGAUUUUGGGGUCAAUCAUUGGGAUUUUGGGGUUGUUGGGGUUUUGGGGUCGGUUGGUGGGAUUUUGGGGUCAGCUGUUCGGAUUUUGAGGUCAAUCAUUGGGAUUUUGGGGUCGUUUGUUGGGGUUU
ensembl:lncRNA